CUCUCUUUCUCUCUCUCUCUCUCUAUCACCAUUUCUGUGAAACCCUAGCCACCGCCCUAAAAUCCUCAACUCUCUCAUGCCAAAAAUGGUGCGUGCACAGAUCUGUGCUGACAUGCGCAGUAAGUCCAUGUCUGUUGAUUUGGAAGCACAGAGGCUCUCAAAUCCAUUCUUCCUUUGGCUGCGCUUGUAAAAGGUGCAGAUAUUGGUGAUCCUCCACUGUAGGAUUCACUCUUCGCUACUUCGGAGUACUCCUUCUUGACUCGGAGUCCACUUUUGGUACAGACUCUCUUUUGCUAUGUAUAUUCUGUACAUUUGACUAUUUGGGUACGGCGGGGCCCUGUCUCGCCAUAUGUCUUUGUUUUGGGUUCGUAGAGGCCUGUAGUCAUAUAUGUGGGGCGAGGGUCCUAUCUAUGUUCGUUUGAUUUUGUUUUUCUGGUCUUAAAGCGGUCCGUUUGUUAUGAUGGCCCUAAAUGGCCCUUAUGCUAUGUUUGCACUUUUGACCGGCGAUGCUUAUUCCGCCGCUCCGUUUGGAUUUGAUAUGACGUUUUGG